rnacentral:lncRNA from 12 species
CAACACAAAACAGGUCCAUGUUCCUGACACAGUGUUGAACCAAAAGAAAAAAAUAAAAUAUUGUAUGAGCUUAUGGAGAAGCUCCCACAUUAAAAUGCAGAAGUGAGCACCACUUAUGGCCUCUACACUCAAGUUUUCCUAAUCGACUUCUUAUUUCUAAGCGGUCAGCUGGAGAAAUAUGCCAGUCCUGAAGCCCAGCGCCUCCUGAUUUUCACUUUAAUGCAAUCACCUGACAAAAGCAGCGAGGAGGGCUUCCGUGAGUGAUGCCCAUUCCCGUCUCCACCUACUGUGCUGGAUAUGGGGGGUUCCGGUGACCGCUAAUGCCGGGAUAUAAUUAAACCAUAAACUUUACAUGAACUUGCACUCGGAGUCAUGUAUGUUUCAUUCAUUACGAUGAAAAGGCCACAUACAAACAAAAAUCAAUAAAAAAGCAUGUUCUUAAUCAGGAUCUUUCUCUUGUUUUCCUGUAAAAAUAUCAAAACAUCUUAAUUCUAGAGAUCUUUUUUGUCUUGUAGUAUUGGCAUAUUUUUACACUUUUCUGUCACAAUUUUCAUCUGUCAGUGGAACAAGACAAUUUUGUUGUUUUCCUGUAAAAGUUCUCAUUUAGAAAUUGGUAUUUUCGAACGUGCUUAAAUCAAAUAUAAAUCAAAU